GAGUCUCUUUUCAGGUAAAAUACAUGCCAAACUAACAAGGUUAGUUAAUGCCUUCCUGUUCACACUUCUAUAUUUUGCUUGAGUCUGUUCUUAUGCACAUAUUGCAUUUGCACCUUACAGUCUCAGAACUCCAUAGUCCAUGCAGAGUGCAGCUCAUUUUAGUGACAGGAUGUUACAUGGAAUCUGGAGUCUCAGCAGCGCUACAAGUAUCUUGUGAAGAUAUAGGAUGGUUGUGAAGAAAUCGGCAUCAGUUUGUUCAGUUCAUACUUCAUAGCACAUGUCACUUCAAGAAGAUUUUGCACGAGAUUAUGUGAUCUUUUUGCGUCAUAUUUUUUCCUAUCAUAAUGUAUAUGUACCCAGUCUCCGUUCAUCGCAUGGCAAAACUUAUAUAAUAUUUCUUUACCAAUUUCUGAAGAAAAUUACCACUGGCCGGCCAGUGGCCAGCUCAAAAAUGGAUUUUUUUUUAAAACGAACCUUGUGUUACAACAUACUAGUAGC
rnacentral:lncRNA from 1 species